GGGUCGGUAGCUGAGAUGGUGUAGCACCUGGCUGAAAACCAGGGGACGCGGAUUCGAGCACCGCCCGCCCCA
rnacentral:tRNA from 1 species